AACAACAAAUCUGAAUUUCUUACCUCACUUUGCUCUCUUUUUCUCUUAAGGAAAGUGCUAAGAAGCUCCCUUGAGUCUUUCUCUCAAGUCCACCGAUUCACACACCAAAAUAAAGACAAGACUCAUCUCUUAUUCACACUUUCUCAAAGAAACUAGAAGACUCAAAAACUCUCUCAAGCUUUCUACCUCUCAUACUUUUGGAUCCAGCCACUAGGAAAUGGACAUCCUUUCAUGCAAGAGUGAUUUAUUUCUAUUUCCUCUCAAGAACCAUAAAUUUGGUGUUACCAGUUCCUCAAGUCUAAGCUUCUUCGAUUGUAGGCUCUCAGUUCCUCUGCUUUCAGGUAAGGGAUAAGUUAUAUGGGUAUUUGGUAAGUCAUGAAAUUAUUUUAAAGUAUAUUAUGCAUUAAAAAGUUUUUGAUUAGAGAUAUGACAUAUAAUCAUUAUUCUGACAAAGAUAUGUUCGUGAGUUUUCGAAACCUUAUGUAUAUGAUUUAAGCAUAUUGAUGCCAUUACGAAUUUCCACGAACAUGAUGUUCAAGAAAAGAAUGGAAAUGUUAUUAUUAUGAAACGUUAUGCAAAAUAAGAAAUUUCAGUAUAAUGUAUAAGUAUGAAAGGUUUUCGGGUUA